AGCACACGGCCUCUCCCGGCCUUCUCCCGGGGUGAAAUGAAACAGGAAUGGGAGAUCAUGCUCUUCCCCGUCCUAAUUUAGCAAGCAGGAUUGUCUCACCCAGGCCCGCAGAGCGUGUGCCGCCCCAGGGCGUCCUUACACACAACAGGCUCUGGGUUGUUCAGCAGUCGCCUGCAGGCGAGGCCAAAACAGGCUGCUUCCACCUCCUUCAAAGGGCUGUGUGCUGCUCAGUGGGUUGGCAGUGUUGACUGCACCAGGCGAAGGACCUGGGCCGGGCAGACAGGGAAGUGCCUGGCACGGGCACCACGCUGGAGGGCAGGCUCUGAGGGUGGGGAGAGCAGAGCACAGAGCCCGGGGGGCACAGGCGUCGGGUGCUUCCUCACCGGCUGCCCCGGCCAGCUGUGGUCGCCCAAGCCACUCGAGCCUGGGGUGAGGAUGGGGUGCAGGCCUGGGACCUGGCUGGCUCCGGGGUCCGAGUUCCUAACCACAGCCCUCCACUGCCUCCGAGCCGGCUCCACUCCAGCGCACCACAGCUGUAAAGAAAUCCGGCUUCUUUGUCCUUAGGAGACAGAAGUAAAAUUUUCUCAUCGCACAUUGGACUGUUUAGCUCUGCAACUAGUGCUGGAGGGGUCCUCAUGGCCCACCUUUACCAUCUGGGUGUUCUUGGGUGAGUGCGUCGCUUCCGACCCUCAGGGAGGCCAGCGGGUACCGUGCAUCUUCCACGAGGCCCGUUCUCCAGGGCCAGCGAGGGUCGAAGUCUGGUGAGGGGAUUUGGGCUCUCAGGCCCGAAGGGCCCACAGCGUCACCUGCCUGGAGCGUGCACACUGCAGCCCAGAGGAGCUGGGUUCCUGAGAAGUGAGUCUCCCCAGCUCGAAGACCGGGUGGUGGCUCUCUCCCUCCUUCGUGCAGAGCUGAGCUGUUCGGGGAAAAUGGCAGAGUCGCCCGGAGAUUGGCCUGGAGUCCGAGGGAGACGCCCACCAGUGGCUCGGGUGGUGUGCGGGUCGGAGGCGGCCUCCCUGCCAGUCCCGGCACCCGCACGCUGCUCCUCUCAGCAGAGCCCAGGCUCAGGGCUGGACGGGGCCGGGGCUGCUGCUGUUCACACUGUCUGUUACUUCGCCUCUACUUACGGGAACGACUCCCACUUUCGACUUACAGGACCGAUAGGAAGCUCCCCAGGAUCUGUUCAAAUGUGGGCCUAUGGUCAGCCAGGCAAAUGGAAGCGCAAUGGUCGAAGCCAUGACAGGAGCCCUGGCCAGAGCGGACUCGGGACACUCUCAGCCAUCCAGGCGACACAGGCGCCUCUGGGCCAAGCCGCUCGGGCCUGGGGUGCUCGGAGACGUGGAGGCUGAGUCGGGCAGAGCAGCCUCGCCCGCCGCUCUCAGGCAAGGUUUGCCGGGGUGUCUGCCUCUGUCCCCUUCAAGCCCCACUUCUGGCCAGGACCAAAGGUGCCUGAAUCCCGUCCUGUCCCCAUGGACUCAGAUCGUCCCUGGUGAUGCCAGGGAGCUGGUGACUGCGGCCUGGGGAACAGGAGUGGGCCACGGAGGGGCUGGGCUCCCGGCCCGCGUCCCGAGCACCAGCGACCUCACGCUGCACCCAGCCUCAGCGUCCCUGGCAUCGCUGGACGCAGCCCCCUGGGCACUGCCCUCCCUUCGUCCUCUGCUCCCAGGCAGGCGGCUGAGGAAGGCGGGCGGCAGGGCUUUCCUGACUCGGAGAUCUAUCCAUGCAGAGGCUUGUAAAGGUCACGCCUGUCCUCUUAAAGAACCUCCAGGAUUUACAUCCUGCCCAGCCCUCGGCCUCCUGGAUGGUAAACAUGAAGAUCCAAUUAGUUUUCCCUAUAACUCAAAGAGAUCCAGCAACAGGGGCCUUUCCGGUUGGGAGUCGGUUUUCUUGCUCCUCGAUUCGGGGAUGAACUUUAAUCCACAUCUUAUCUCCUGCUUAAAAAUGAACAUCUCUUCUCUUCUUAUCACUGUGUUGCUCCCUUCUCACUUCCCCUCCCUCUGGAGUCUUGGCCACCUUCCUCCUUGGCAGUGACAGUGGAUUCUUCUGACCGAGUUACUCGCCGCUCUUGGUUACCUUAAGAAUUUCCCCCUGGCCGGGUCCCAGCCCUGCUCCUCCCCGGCACUGGGCAUCCGGGGCCCCACUUCUGAGUCUUUGCCGAGGAAGGGCAUGGAUUGCUGAACACCGCUCCUUUGUGGUGCAGUCCCCAGAGAUGAAGUCCCGAGCAGCCUGUCCCCAGUUCCUGGCCCCUCCCCCCCUCUGGGUUCACCAGUCCACACUGCUCUCCCCGGGUCGUGGGUGAGGUGGGCGCCCCAGUGCGAGUGCCCAGCCCCAGCCCGCAGUGCCGGGCUGCGGGUCUCAGAGUGGUCAGCUCUGGCUCCCGGCUGAGGGAAGCUUUCACCCACUUGUCCUGACGUGAGCAAUUCUGCAGGCAGGGCUGGGGGCCAGGGAGCGGUGGGCCUUCCGGGCAGGCGCUCUUCUGGUGCCUCCUUCGUUGAUUAUGGGGCCUCAGCAGGAGGCCUGGGCUCCUCAGCACAAACCUAGUCCCUGGGGCUCCCGGAAGUCACCACAGCCAGCACUUCCUGAGUGUGGGAAACACUGCACUGUACCUGGCCUCUCCCCAGGAGCUCCCACGAGCGCCUCCACCUGGAAGGGAAUCUGGGCGGGCACACGGCGUGGGACCUCUGACACGCAGCUUGCUUCCCGCUAGCUCUGAUGCAGGAGGGUGCGGAACCCCACGGCCACCUUGUGUGCUGGAGACAGGGAGGGGAGUUUCCAGUCUCCUCCUAAAAGAUUACUUGGCUUCUUCCUUGCUGUUGCCUAAGAGUCUGGAUAGGACGCACCUCAAGGCAGAAUGCCUUCAGAAGUUGCAAAGAGUGGAAAUCCUAGCUCAAGCAGCUUUCAUAGAGGAGACUUAUGUGCUCAUGUAACUACUGGUUGAAGUCUAGGCUUAGCCAGCACCUCCAUGAUGUUUCCAUGGACUCAGCUUUCUCUGGUCUUUCAGUUUGUCCUUCUGUGGUGUCAGCUUCAGACAAAGCCUGAUCUGCCUCAUGGUGGCAAAAUGGCUGCGGUGGUUCCAGGCUUCACAUUUUCAUAGUCAAAAGGAUUUGUCUUGGGUCUUUUCCACACCCAUGCAGGAAUCUAAAGAAUCUGCGUUGUCAGGAAGGCUGAGUAUGGAGUGGCUGGCCACUGGGUAAAGAAUUAAGAUCUUUGAAUUACCUCCUGUUAGAGCAGUUGAAGUGUAGGGACUUCCUCCCCGAAGUGUGAAGGUGGAACGUGCCAGUUGGUGCUGUGGCCUCAAUGACUCGGGCUUUUCUGCUCUGUGGUGCCGUUUCCUUGGUGUCACCGAUGGCGGCAGGAGUGCCGGGUGCUACCUUCUCAGUGUGGUCUGAACAGCAGGGGCAGCAAGGCUGGGAGCAGAGGGGCCUCUUCACGCACCCUGCUCUGGUCAGGGCCGGAAGCAUCCCAUUGACGCCGCCCCUCUGCCUCCUCCCCCCUGGCCUGGCCUGGGCCCGGGCGGACUGUGGAAGUGAACACCGGAAGGUCACCCAGCAGUGCCCUGCUUUACACUGCAGAGUCGAAGGCCAGCCCUGAGGGUGUUGCCAGUGUCUCAGAAGCGUGAGGAGAGCAGACCGAGUCUCCCAGCAGCUGCCUUGGGCCACUCUGUCUGGGAACACAGAGCCGAGGGCGGCCAGGCUCCAGGGGCAGCCCCGCCUGCUCCAAGCAUCGGCACAGACUGAGAAGCCCGGGUCUGUCUUGGCCUCCUGACCCUGGGAAUGUGCUGCCGACUCUUCCUUAACUUGAAGCUCUCAUUCCGUGGCAAGACUGCUUCCCCACCAGCUAACUGCUGGUCCUCAGGGCUCUGCUCAGCUCAGAGGGCCUGAGAGUGGCUGUCACUCAAUAAACCGUGCUAUCGGCCAGACAGUUUUGGCUGAACUGAAGACGGAGCAAGGAGCGCAGUGCAAGGAGGCCAGUCCACACAGGCAGCUCUGGCGUGCUCGGUUUCCUGCUAGUCCAGCGCUGGGCUCUUUGCUGCCCUUCUGACUCCCUCUGAGAAAUGAUGGAAGCAAGUUUUUCACCGCAGUUGGAAGCAGGCUCUGUGGGAAGGAAGAGGUCUCUUGGAGAAGCGGUGACAGAUGAGUCUGCUCGGAGGAAGAAGAAGCUGAGGCACUUGGGAGCCAGGGCCAUGGGCUCCGCAGUCAGUGGGCAGGGCCAGGCUUGCAGGUCAGCGCUGGCUCGAGGCUCUCAGUCGCUGUGCUUUGUCGACACACGGUUUGCGUGCACAGCGAUGGCGUGGGCCACAGGUGUCCUUCUCGGCUGCCCAGCCCUGGGUCCCACCUGGCCCUCAGUGGAGGCCCCGCCCGGCAGGCACCACUCCCUGAGCCUCUGCAGGAGCGGCCAGCAGGUGGCGCAUCCGCAACUGGCAGACAGCUCCUGGGCCACAGCAGCUGCAGCCCGGCCUUGGCCGGGCGCCCUUUCCUGGCCGUGGGGAAGGGGAGGCUCCCGUGCGUCUGUCUGUCUGUCUCGGUUCAUCUUGUAUUUGCUUGGAUCGUGAGGCCCCGCUCGGUCCCCAGGAGUAGGGGUCUUGCUCGGUUUUUGUGUGGUUAUAGCUCAGCCUCAGGCUGCUCCCUGCUGGUGAGGGCCUGGGGUGAGGCCAAGCCCCGGCGAAUGCCCCCGCUCUCCUCUCUGAGCCUCCUGUCAGCGGCGGCCGGGAGGGUGCACGCCGGCCCCCGGGCUCCGCUGCCCGGACUUGUUCCCCUCAGCCCGGGAGCCCUCUGGACCCCAAGUCUCCUGCCCUGUGGCCCUCCCUUUGGUCGAAGCAUUUCCACGCGGUAGCCUCUCCUCCUUUCGGUGAAAAACACACGGAUUGAAAUUCAUCCUUCUCGCCUUCUUUGUGGCCCUGCCCACUCGCAUCAUUGUGCAGCCGACAGACAGCAGCGCCCACCCCUCCGCCACCGUCCGCAGUCUGCCAAAAGCUGCUGCUCCCCUCGGGCCCGGGUGGGACCUAGCUGUUGGGCACCGCCUGCUCUGGGCCCGCCGCCUUUCUUCAAAGCUCGAGAAGAAGGGGUGAGAGAGGCACCGGGGUCCCCCGCGCACAGGGGAUCUGUUCCCAGACCCACGGGCAGCGCAACCCUAAGCUGCACCCCUCAGAGCCAGGUUCCCCGAAUCCUGUGCUGGGUCCCCCUUGGCCCGCGACUCCUGUGCUUUUAAGUCAUAAAGGGCUCUGUGGACACAGCACAGCAACCGUGUGGCCUCAGCCUGAUCCUGCUCGGCAGCCGGCAUCCAAGGACGAAGGAUGGGCCCUGCCAGAAUGGGGAACGGCCGAGGCCUGGGUCCUCAUCGUGUGAGCGAGCCAGGAGAGGGCAGCAUGAGCUGCUAAUUUCUAGAAUUCUCCACUGACCACUUCAAACCCUGUUUGACCUAAGGUCACCAAAACCGUGGAAAUCAAAGCCACAGGUAAGUGGGCUGUUGUGUAUUUUCCCAGAACGCACCUAUCUAUAACGCUAGAUCUGUCCUUCCUCCUUCACAGCGUGGCUGGAUGUGUCCUUGUGUCUGACACUCUCCCACUCUGCUCGAAGCCCAGGCUCCAGGACUCGUCCCGGGCAGGACCACAGACCUCGAGAGGCCCUGGCUUGGAGCUCAGCUCUGCUGUGGGCCAGGAGUCAGGCCUUGGGGACACCCAGCCCCCGAGGCCCCCGGGAGGGCUCAGCACCUCACUGGCGUGGGGUGCAGGCCCAGACUCCGAGGCCUGGAUGCUUUGCCUUCCAACUUCUGGCGCUGCUGCGUCUUGCAUUUCCAUACAUUUUUACCUGUGUGUUUCAGCUGCUGGUCAUUUUAUCGUACAUGGACUCAGUGCCCAAGGACUCUGCUGUAUUCUCAUUUCCCUUACAACAGAGCAGCCUUGCUCUGUGAUGUCCGACUCUUUCUUCUCUGAACAUCUGCAGGUUCCCGGCCACCGGGCCGGUGCGCGGGCUCAGGUGGCUCCAGCGUCCGAUCGGCCCCCAGGGCAUCUUUUGUUCUUUCUCUCUGCCGCUCAGGCGCCAGAGCAAGCGUCGCCUCUGUGAUGGGCCCGUGAUGCACAUGUCACCACAGACCUCUUGUUCUCCGAGAGCUGACGCCCCCAGAGACCGAGCCCCAGCAUCCUCUGGGGCCCAGUGUGGGAGGCAGGUGUCCCCCGCGCCCCUGUGCAACCUCAGUGUCCCCGAGCUCGAGGGUCGCUGUCCCCAGCCCCACUCCUACCCAGCUCCUCUGAGGGAACCUGAGUCCCCUGUAGAGGUUGCGCAGGAAGGGGGAGCCCGGGCCAGGCAGAGGGCCUUGUGUCCCUUCCUUCCAUGCACCUGGCUUUAUAAGAGCCCGGGGAGAAACCAGCGGGGCCCCAAGGCUCCCCAGGAAGCUCUGUCCAGAGCCGAGAGAAGCACUCAUGUACCCGGUGCGGGUGCUCAGGGCGAUCACUGCUCAAGACCUGAAGACCUCGAGCACUUUCCACCUGCAGUCCCAGCCUGGAGGGGACGAAGCUGGGAGAAAAGUGGGCAGUGGCACGGGUGGCAAGGACCCACUGUGGGCACAGCGGGUUCUCUCCUUCCCAGUUCCAGUUGAGAGAAAGGAGCCGACGCCUGGCUGCUGCGCUUCAGACCCCGCCUCUUCCGCCCUGACACUCGCGCGUCUGAGCAGCCGCAAUGAAACCGCAUUCUCUGCAAUUCCGGCCCCAGAGGGGGACUCGCAGCCCAGAAGGGAGCUUCAUCAGCGCCAAGCCAAGAGCCACGCCGGAAAUGGGGUCAGCAUUUCGGCCACACUAUAAAAGCUUAAAGGAGAAGGGACAUGAAAGGCUUCGUAAAAAGCCCCUUCCGAGAUGCACAAAUGUAAGUGCCCUGUGCCUUCACACACAUUCCUCCUGCGCAUUUGAAGCCAAGGGGAGGUUUCUUUCUGACGCCGCACUUUGAUCUCUGCCUCUUCAUAACUCCUACCCUACCUGUGCUGGGGUCUGGGGAACAUGGAGUUGCCGUAAAGCCUUUCUCAAAUCCUUCAUCAGCAUUUAACGAGCGGCCUCCGGUCCCGCCCUUCUGUUCCCUGUCUAGAAUGCUUUUCCCUCGUCCCUGCUCCAACACCGAGCUCCAGGUCCCCUGAGUCACCAUGAUGUAUUUUCUCCAACCACCAACCAGCAUCUGAAAUGAUUCCAAGAAUCAGGCCUGAUCCCCAGCCCCAAGAAGUGCCAGCUGUUUGCUUGCAGUUGUGUUUAAAAACUGUUCCUGCCUCUCCUGUACUCUGGAGUCUCCUUGGCUGGUAGUCAGUAAACAUGAACAGAAGAAUUCGCUUAGCACAGCUCAUGACAGCUAAAUCCUGGAAGCAGCCUAAGUGUUGGUCAACAGAUCAAUGGAUAAAGAAAGCAUGGUAUUUGCACACAAUGGAGUACUACUCUGCCCCGAAGAAGGAUAAACUUGAGUCAUUUGGAGGAAAGUGGAUGAAUCUGGAGGCCAUGAUAUUAAGGGAAAUAAAUCAGACAAGCUUGAAUAUCACAUGGUUUCUUUUAUGUGAGAAAGCCAAAGUAUAAAUAAUUAUAAAAAGAAAUAAAGAUAACACCGAACAGGAAGAUAGACCUUUUGCAAAUGAGGAGGAAUCAAGAGAUGAGGAGGGAAGGGAAGGGGGCUAAAAAGAAUGAGGAGGAGUUAGGUACAUAUGCCGGCUCCCCACGAGGAAAGCGACCAUUGCGGACCAGAAACAGCUAGGAAAAGAACGUAAAAAGCAGGGUCUGCAGCAGCCCGAGAAUCAGG
ensembl:lncRNA